rnacentral:sRNA from 1 species
UCGCUGAAGCUCACCAUCACUAAUCAAACUGACGUCUGCGAUUGGAGCACCUCGACUCGGCUUAACGCCUCGCGAACCACCAUCACCGAUUGUUGUGCAACCGCCAUCAGCGAUGAGUCAGGCUAAAACUGAGUAAGUUAUGAUUUCUUUAAAUUUAGUAAAAAUGUUAAAAAUUUGUUAUUCUAUAACAAUCGAAAAAGAUUCAAAAUCAACAUUUGAAGUAUUCUAUGAAUUCUGAAAAUUUAAAAUAUUCAUUGCUCAAACCAUCAGAAAUUUGAGACCCAUGACCUGUAGAUUUUAAAUGUCCGAAAAGUUCAAAUUGGUGUCAGACCACAAGCACUUAUCACACACACAUAUCAUAUCCUUCCUUUUCUCUUUUUAUUUCUCCAGUUCGCUUGUCAUUUUAAGACUCUUCGUUGUCGCUAAGAAAAACUCGAGAAAAAAAAAACGGCGAAAAUGCAGUAGGAAUGUGAUACACGAAGCUUCUAUGUGUGUAUGUGUGAGUGUGCUCCGGACAGCUGACCCCUUUACUCUCAAUUUUCGAAGACAAGGGCACAUGAGAUAUAUUAUCACAAGCAGCACUUAUUCAGUGAGAAAUUUAGAUUUUGGAAAUGAUCUACCGAACAGUUUUGAAAAAGAAAACAGUUUUAGUAUUUCAAAAUGAAAAUAAGGUUCGAGCAAGAUCAAAAAUUGAGCACUCUGAGCUUCUUUUCCACACAAAAGUGUUUUUUUUUAAAUUAUUUAAAAAACUAUGUCAUCUGGAAUUUUGCUUGAAAAAUACGUUCCUACAAAAAAGAGAGGAGCUCUUAGAGCUGAAAAAUAGUAAAUCUGAAAUUGUUUUAUUUAAAAAAUGUUUUUUGGAGCUCCGUAAAGCAGCUUCAAAAUAGGUUUUUGCAAUUUCUUGAUGUUUUAAAAAGUUAUAAGGCAAACAUUCUGAAAAGUAUUUCAUCUAAAAAUUUUCACACUUUGUCUUCAGAACAUAUUUCUGAAAACACUCAAGUUGUUCAGGUUCACAAAACAUCCUAAAAUCAACCUGAGCGAUGAAAAGUGACUUAAAAUUUUUUAAAACGUUUAUUUCAAGUUCGAAGAGCCAAUAUACAACUUUUUUGAGGAACGAGACCAAUAAGUACAAAAAUCAUGGUUUCAAACAUUUGUUUAUUGUUUCCUUUUUCAUUUUUGGAGAAAAAUUAAUAUUUUUUAAAGAAAAUUUUAAAAAUUUGAAGUUUCGUUUGAAAUUCCUCCGAGGUUUCCUUUAAAAAAUCUGAAAAGUAAAUUGUUUCGUGUUCAUUUACUUUCUGUUACGAACUGUCAUCCAAUCGGUCAGUCAACAUUGGACAAUCUUUUAAACAAAUUCAAAAACUUUUUUAUUCUUCUUUCCUCAAACCAACAAAAAACUUGGAAAAAAAAAUUCCAUUUGAUAGCAAAGAUAUUUACACUUAUUUCGGUCAGAGCCAACACAAAACGACAAAUAACAAAUAAAUGUGAGAGACGCAGAUAUUUCGAUUCACGAGAGACGUACAGUCUUGUAGAAGACGCAGAAAAAACACGCCUCUUUUUGGUUGUUUCACUGUCUCGUCACUCUCCAUCACUCUCUGUACUAUCUCGCCUUUUCAAGUGCGCACACGGGGGGACACUUUCCCAUUCUCAGUCAGCUGCGCCAUCUUUCGCCGGCUUCAAAUUUUUAUUCAAGACUAUUAUUUUCUGAAUUUUUUUUCUGAAAAUUAUUGUCUGAAAUUAUGAGUAACAUGGAGCCUCCACCACCCAUGUUUCCUAGAUCACGAAUUUAUCAUAGGUUAGUGUAAAAAAUGGAAUAAUUUAUAAGCUCUAAGCACUAAGGAACACCCGAAAUUUCUGAUAGUUUUAGAACUUAUUGGUAAAAAUUGAAUGUAAAAUUGAAAAAUAUUAUUAAAAAAUUGUGAAGCAAAUCGGAAAAAUCUCUGAUAAUCGAAUUUAAGAAAUAAUUUCACAUGUGACGAAAUAAUUAUUUGUUAAAACUACAAAAAAUGAAAAAGACUAAAAAUUAUUUGUAGUAAGCAAUUAAAAAUUCAUUGAAGCAGGUCAAGUUAAAACUAUAAUUUUUCAGUUACUAUUCUGAAGAGAAGACCUUCUCAGCACCGUCAGCGAAUAGUCAACAGGGAACUCAACUACCUUCAAAAGUCUACAAUAAAGGAUUAAAAGUAAGGAAAUUUUUGAAAAACGAAGAACUCUGGAAACUAAUUCAGGAUUUGGAGGAUAAUGAUAUUGAAGGCCUUCUUUCAAGUUUAUCGAUUGAUGAAUUGGAGGAUCUCAACAAUGAUUUUGAUCCUGAUG